GGCCAUAUGGUCUAAUGGUAUGACAAUACUCCUUCACAGUAUAAAUAUGGGUUCAAUUCCCGUUAUGGCUA